rnacentral:tRNA from 1 species
GCCUUAGUAGUAUAAUAAGUACUUCUGGUUUGCAUCUAGAAAGUGACUCCUUAGUCUUAGGGCU